rnacentral:rRNA from 1 species
GACGAACGCUGGCGGCGCGCCUAACACAUGCAAGUCGAACGGAGCUGAGAGAAGCUUGCUUUUCUUAGCUUAGUGGCGAACGGGUGAGUAACGCGUGAGUAACCUGCCCUGGAGUGGGGGACAACAGUUGGAAACGACUGCUAAUACCGCAUAAGCCCACGAUCCGGCAUCGGCUUGAGGGAAAAGGAUUUAUUCGCUUCAGGAUGGACUCGCGUCCAAUUAGCUAGUUGGUGAGGUAACGGCCCACCAAGGCGACGAUUGGUAGCCGGACUGAGAGGUUGAGCGGCCACAUUGGGACUGAGACACGGCCCAGACUCCUACGGGAGGCAGCAGUGGGGGAUAUUGCACAAUGGGGGAAACCCUGAUGCAGCGACGCCGCGUGGAGGAAGAAGGUUUUCGGAUUGUAAACUCCUGUCGUAAGGGACGAUAAUGACGGUACCUAACAAGAAAGCACCGGCUAACUACGUG